rnacentral:snRNA from 1 species
AUGCCUUAAACUUAUAAGUAUGGAAAAUAGUGAUUCGGGGUGAUGCCUGAAUCCUCACUGCUAAUGUGAGAUGAAUUUUUAAGCGGGUAAAGGUUGCCCCUCGACCUCCCAAAGCCCUAGGAUUAUAAGUGUGAAACCUACGCC